UGGCUAUCUUUUUUAUUUUCUGGCAGAAUUCGUGGCGAGAAAGGCCCAUUGAUAACGGGAGAAAAAAGUGGAAGUGAAAGAAGUGAGUUGGGAUCCCGACACUUCCGUAAUUCCACCUAUCGCCAAAGCCGCACCGGUCGGAGCGGAGUAACGAGGAAAAAAAAGUGAAACAGUGAUGAGCGAAUAUGACGAUCAGUUGAAGCAUGCUGUUCCAACCGCGCUCUCGCUCUACAAGUGCAGCCUCCCGGUGUGAUGUGUCAAGUUCGCGUGAAUAAGUGACGUAUUUCAAUCCCAGACUGUGCGUCAUAUGGACUGCAUCCUGCAAUACGGGUCUACAGUUCCUGGCUCAGUUCAGAAACAACGAAUGGUUGAACUUUAAUUGCGCGUAUAAAAUGUAAACCAAAUUAAAUAAUAAGUGAAACGGAUUUCAUCGAUAGUACAACUGCGUCACACCACGGCUUAUAUCGCCCUCUUCUUGAACGUAUUCGUUGUCGCCGCCAUUAUCUGACGAGGAGGAAGAGGAUGAGCCAGACGGCGGCUGACUGUGGAAAACUUGUGUCAAACCAUUAAUUUUAUGCACGUCAUAACCAAUUCCCAUUGUUCGUUUUUUGAGCAGAAAAUGACCCUGUAAAAAUAUAACAAGAACCCGAAUAAAGCGCAAUGAAGCAUCUGCAUACCCUCA